CUCAAGGAUGAGUGGAAGAGAUUUACCCAUGGUCAUUGGUCUUGGAUGGUGACAUGCAACCACACAGCCAGGGAAGGAACAGCCUAAGUGAGACUGACUGAGUGGAACUGCUGUGGAGAGUGUCAGUGUUAAUCAACCAGAGGGAUACCUGGCACACAGCACUGCCCAUCAGGGCUUUGCUGCUCCCAGGGAAAGCACUCACAGCAUUGAUUAGCUGAAGAGGCUUCCUACUGGUAUUUAAACUGGGUGGAAGAAGUGGAUGAAAAUGCCCUCAAAUCAGUAAAAGAAACACACACACACCCCCAUCAUCUGCUACUAUUGAGCUACCAGACAUUAACAAUCUGGGGAUAUCCCAAAAGAAGUAGCUACUAAAGGACCUCAAUCUAAGUGACUUCUUACUUCAGCAACAAAAUCAUCAGCCUUGAAAACCAUCAGCGACAACCUGUAAGCUCUUUGAUACAGAACACAAGUUGUUACUAUGUUUCCUGCUACUUCUCAAUACCCAACUUUCUGACUCUGUUGUGUAGGCACAUUAAAAGAACUGAGGUUUUUCCUGAACGACUCACCUUUUCAGUUACCUGUCUGAUCAGGUCACACUUCCUUCAGAAACCUGUGCUCUCUUUCUCCACGCAGGGUUCUGUCCAAGCAAGUUCUGUCAAUCUUCUUCUAAAUCUUAACACAUCCAACAGUGGACUUACACCCAACAGUUCUAAUCUGAAGCCUGACAAAUACUGAGCACUUAAAGUUCCACAAAA